GGGUCAUUAGGUUGGUCGUGCCACCGGUACGUACUGGUCUCACUGAUUCCUCCUUCCUGAAGAGCCGUAAUGCCAUUAAUUUGGUGUUGCGGGGAAACAGGACUGUUACUUUGAAAAAAUUAGAGUGUUUAAAGCAAGCUGACGCUUGAAUACAUUAGCAUGGAAUAAUGAAAUAGGACGAUCGAUCCUAUUUUGUUGGUUUCUAGGAUUGACGUA
rnacentral:rRNA from 1 species